rnacentral:tRNA from 1 species
ACUUAUAUAGUUUAAAUUUAAAAUUAUGAUUUGUGGUAUCAUUGAUAUCUGUUUGAUUAUGGGUU